UACGGAGGGUGCGAGCGUUGUCCGGAAUCACUGGGCGUAAAGGGCGCGUAGGCGGCGCGGGAAGUCGUCGGUGAAAGUUCAGGGCUCAACUCUGAAUCGGCCGGUGAUACUCCCGUGCUCGAGCACUGUAGAGGCAGGUGGAAUUCCGGGUGUAGCGGUGGAAUGCGUAGAGAUGUGGAGGAACACCAGUGGCGAAGGCGACUUUCUGGUCUGUAACUGACGCUGAGGCGCGAAAGCGUGGGGAGCAAACAGG
rnacentral:rRNA from 1 species